AAGGUGGGGAUGACGUCAAGUCCUCAUGGCCCUUAUGGCUAGGGCUGCACACGUCCUACAAUGGCACGCACAAAGGGAUGCUAACUCGUGAGAGCACGCAAAUCCCAAAAAUCGUGCCCUAGUUCGGAUUGCAGGCUGCAACUCGCCUGCAUGAAGCUGGAAUCGCUAGUAAUCGCGGGUCAGCAUACCGCGGUGAAUGUGUUCCUGAGCCUUGUACACACCGCCCGUCAAGCCAUGGAAGCUGGGGGUGCCUGAAGUCGGUCACC
rnacentral:rRNA from 1 species